GAUCCUGGCUCAGGACGAACGCUGGCGGCGUGCUUAACACAUGCAAGUCGAACGGGGCGCUUAUGAUGGAGAUUUCGGUCAACGGAUUAAGUUGCCUAGUGGCGGACGGGUGAGUAACGCGUGAGUAACCUGCCUUUCAGAGGGGGGACAACAGUUGGAAACGACUGCUAAUACCGCAUAAUAUAUAUGGACCGCAUGAUCUGUAUAUCAAAGAUUUAUCGCUGAAAGAUGGACUCGCG
rnacentral:rRNA from 1 species